AUUCAUGAAAAUAUUCAAGAAAUAUUCAAAGGAAUGAUUGAUGACAAAGAUGAUCAAAUGUGAUAAGGGGGGAAAGAAACCUGUGUUUGCCACAUAUCUUGCGUUCUACAAAAUUGCCGGGAAAACAAAAGGAGUGAUCUUCAUAGGGAACCAGUGUGAUGAUGGUUGGCGAAAUAAAAAAUAUUCAAAAAAUAAUCAAAAAAAUAAUCAAAAAAUAUUCACGGAAAUAUUCACGAAAAUAUUCAAGAAAUAUUCAAAGGAAUGAUUGAUUACAAAGAUUAUCAAAUGUGAUAAGGGGGGGAGGAAACCUGUGUUUUCCGCAUAUCUUGCGUUCUACAAAAUUGCCAGGAAAACCAAAGGAGUGAUCUUCAUAGGGAACCAGUGUGAUGAUGGUUGGUGAAAUAAAAAAUAUUCAAAAAAUAAUCAAAAAAAUAUUCACGGAAAUAUUCACGGAAAUAUUCAUGAAAAUAUUCAAGAAAUAUUCAAAGGAAUGAUUGAUUACAAAGAUUAUCAAAUGGGGGAAGGAAACCUGUGUUUGCCACAUAUCUUGCUUUCUACUAUCUUGCCAGGAAAACAAAUGGAGUGAUCUUCAUAGGGAACCAGUGGGAUGAUGGUUGGUGAAAAAAAAAAUUCAAAAUAUCAUCCAAAAAAUAAUCAGAAAAGAAUCAGAUAAUAUUCAUGAAAAUAUUAAAGAAAUAUUCAAAGGAAUGAUUUAUUACAAAGAUCAUUAUAUGUGAUAAGGG
ensembl:lncRNA